AUUGAACGCUGGCGGAAUGCUUUACACAUGCAAGUCGAACGGCAGCACGGACUUCGGUCUGGUGGCGAGUGGCGAACGGGUGAGUAAUACAUCGGAACGUGCCCAGUCGUGGGGGAUAACGUAGCGAAAGCUACGCUAAUACCGCAUACGAUCUAAGGAUGAAAGCGGGGGACCGUAAGGCCUCGCGCGAUUGGAGCGGCCGAUGGCAGAUUAGGUAGUUGGUGGGGUAAAGGCUCACCAAGCCGACGAUCUGUAGCUGGUCUGAGAGGACGACCAGCCACACGGGGACUGAGACACGGCCCAGACUCCUACGGGAGGCAGCAGUGGGGAAUUUUGGACAAUGGGCGCAAGCCUGAUCCAGCCAUUCCGCGUGCAGGAUGAAGGCCCUCGGGUUGUAAACUGCUUUUGUACGGAACGAAAAGGCUCUGGUUAAUACCUGGGGCUCAUGACGGUACCGCAAGAAUAAGCACCGGCUAACUACGUGCCAGCCGCCGCUGUAA
rnacentral:rRNA from 1 species